rnacentral:rRNA from 1 species
AUUGAACGCUGGCGGCAUGCUUUACACAUGCAAGUCGAACGGCAGCGCGGGCUUCGGCCUGGCGGCGAGUGGCGAACGGGUGAGUAAUACAUCGGAACGUGCCCAGUAGUGGGGGAUAGCUCGGCGAAAGCCGGAUUAAUACCGCAUACGACCUGAGGGUGAAAGCGGGGGAUCUUCGGACCUCGCGCUAUUGGAGCGGCCGAUGGCGGAUUGGCUAGUUGGUGGGGUAAAGGCCUACCAAGGCGACGAUCUGUAGCUGGUCUGAGAGGACGACCAGCCACACUGGGACUGAGACACGGCCCAGACUCCUACGGGAGGCAGCAGUGGGGAAUUUUGGACAAUGGGCGAAAGCCUGAUCCAGCAAUGCCGCGUGUGUGAUGAAGGCCUUCGGGUUGUAAAGCACUUUUGGCGGGAACGAAAAGGACUGUGCCAAUACCACGGUUCGAUGACGGUACCCGCAGAAUAAGCACCGGCUAACUACGUG